UACAUAGGGUGCAAGCGUUGUCCGGAAUUAUUGGGCGUAAAGAGCUCGUAGGCGGUUUGUCGCGUCUGCUGUGAAAACUCAGGGCUUAACCCUGAGCCUGCAGUGGGUACGGGCAGACUAGAGUGUGGUAGGGGAGAUCGGAAUUCCUGGUGUAGCGGUGGAAUGCGCAGAUAUCAGGAGGAACACCGGUGGCGAAGGCGGAUCUCUGGGCCAUAACUGACGCUGAGGAGCGAAAGCGUGGGGAGCGAACAGG
rnacentral:rRNA from 1 species